AUUGAACGCUGGCGGCAGGCCUAACACAUGCAAGUCGAACGCGUGGCGGACGGGUGAGUAAUGUCUGGGACACUGCCUGAUGGAGGGGGAUAACUAAUGGAAACGGUUUCUAAUACCGCAUACCAUCAAAUGUGCCCAGAUGGGAUUAGCUUGUUGGUGGGGUAACGUCUCACCAAGGAGACGAUCCCUACCUGGUCUGAGAGGAUGACCAGCCACACUGGAACUGAGACACGGUCCAGACUCCUACGGGAGGCAGCAGUGGGGAAUAUUGGACAAUGGGCGAAAGCCUGAUGCAGCCAUGCCGCGUGUAUGAAGAAGGCCUUCGGGUUGUAAAGUACUUUCAGCUGGGAGGCGUUACCCGCAGAAGAAGCACCGGCUAACUCCGUGCCAGCAGCCGCGGUAAUAC
rnacentral:rRNA from 1 species